AUUGAACGCUGGGGGCAGGCCUAACACAUGCAAGUCGAGCGGAUGAAGGGAGCUUGCUCCUGGAUUCAGCGGCGGACGGGUGAGUAAUGCCUAGGAAUCUGCCUGGUAGUGGGGGAUAACGUCCGGAAACGGGCGCUAAUACCGCAUACGUCCUGAGGGAGAAAGUGGGGGAUCUUCGGACCUCACGCUAUCAGAUGAGCCUAGGUCGGAUUAGCUAGUUGGUGGGGUAAAGGCCUACCAAGGCGACGAUCCGUAACUGGUCUGAGAGGAUGAUCAGUCACACUGGAACUGAGACACGGUCCAGACUCCUACGGGAGGCAGCAGUGGGGAAUAUUGGACAAUGGGCGAAAGCCUGAUCCAGCCAUGCCGCGUGUGUGAAGAAGGUCUUCGGAUUGUAAAGCACUUUAAGUUGGGAGGAAGGGCAGUAAGUUAAUACCUUGCUGUUUUGACGUUACCAACAGAAUAAGCACCGGCUAACUUCGUG
rnacentral:rRNA from 1 species